UACAGAGGGUGCAAGCGUUGCUCGGAAUCAUUGGGCGUAAAGGGUAGGUAGGUGGUCUCAUUUGUCUGGGGUGAAAGCCCAGGGCUUAACCCUGGAAGUGCCCCGGAAACGGUGAGACUGGAGUAUUGGAGAGGGUCGUGGAAUUCCUGGUGUAGCGGUGAAAUGCGUAGAGAUCAGGAAGAACAUCGGUGGCGAAGGCGCUCUGCUGGACCAUAACUGACACUCAGGGACGAAAGCUAGGGGAGCGAAUGGG
rnacentral:rRNA from 1 species